rnacentral:RNase_P_RNA from 1 species
CCGACCGGCUUGCCGCUGCCGUUUCAUACGGGAGAGGAAAGUCCGGGCAACACAGGGCAUUCCGCUUCUUAAUGGGAAGUAGUCCGCAAGGGUUAGAUCAUGCAGAAGAAAACAACCGCCUUGUCCGACAAGGUAAGGGUGAGAAGGUGGGGUAAGAGCCCACCAGCCGGAUGGUGACAUCUCGGGCUGUGCAUUCCGGAAGUUGAAAGUUCGCGUAUACCGGCGCCACAAGAAGAGCUGCCCGCUCAAGCCGGAGGGUAGAACGAUUGAGCCUUUUGGUGACAAAAGGUCUGGAUAAAUGGCAAGCAUCCUUUUUCAUUAAGGAUACAGAACCCGGCUUACAGGCCGACUGCU